AUUGAACGCUGGCGGCAGGCCUAACACAUGCAAGUCGAACGAGUGGCGGACGGGCGAAUAAGUGCUGGGAAACUGCCUGAUGGAGGGGGAAGACGAGUGGAAACGGUAGAUAAUGGCGCUUACCACCGGUUCUGCCCAGAGGGGAUUAGGUUGUUGGUGGGGUAACGGCUCACCAAGGCGACGAUCCCUAGCUGGCCUGAGAGGGUGACCAGCCACACUGGAACUGAGACACGGUCCAGACUCCUACGGGAGGCAGCAGUGGGGAAUCUUGCACAAUGGGCGCAAGCCUGAUGCAGCCAUGCCGCGUGUAUGAAGAAGGCCUUCGGGUUGUAAAGUUCUGUCAGCAGGGAUGCGUUACCCGCACAAGAAGCACCGGCUAACUCCGUGCCAGCAGCCGCGGUAAUAC
rnacentral:rRNA from 1 species